GGGUCAACAUCUGACAUCUACUCUUUUCAAGCACUUACCUUGAUCACCUCAUGAAAAUUGUGCAAACACAUAUAUCCUAGUAUUGAAGGAGUUAGUUGCUGUAUUCUAGUGAUCCAUAUCUCGAGGCACAUCUGGCCGUUUAAUGCAAAUCGGACGGCUGAGAGCUCUCCCGCUCAUUUCAAAACCCAUCCCCCAAAUCCAGAGCAGCGACCAUGGAGUGAAGUGAGAGCGUGGCCGUCUUCGAUGCUUGCGAUCUCAACCCCCAGCGCUUCAUCAAUGAGGUCCUCAACGCCGCCGUUCUGCCUCCAGCAGGCUUCAAUCAUCACGGGAUGUGGGGAGAAGCAAUCUGAUGAGCUUGCCAAGGUUUCUCCAGACCUUGUUACAACUUUGGAAGAAAAUUCCUGUAGAUUUCAUCAGAAAUGUGUGGUUAUUUUCAAGGAUUAUGAACGAUUGAUCAUCAGAGAAUUUAACCAAAGGUGCUUGUUUGUGGGGCGGCCUUGAGUUGGGACGAACUGUGAAUGGAAGACAAAAACAUUGACCAAACUAUAAGAACUUCAAGCUGUUCCUUAGUCCUUUGUUUGUGGUUGGCAAAAAUGAUGAAUACAUACAGGAAGGAAAAAACCUAAAACUCUAUGGAAGUGGGACUUGAAAUAGUUUGUGCCCCCAUUUGGUUAACAUUUCUGCAUUCUUAGGUGUUUCAUACCUUCGCAACAUGACCCAAGAAAUUUUGGACAAGAGAAUGGACAUAUGGGGAAAAUUUUGUCUUCGACAUUGUUUUGCUAUACCUGAGGGCUUCACUCUGUGAAAAGCUGCGAGAAGCGCCUCCCAUUUAAGGGAUUGUCAAAGGGAUAACAGGUAUGGAAGUGCACCAAUUACGGCGGCUUACAAACCUCUUAGAAAAAUUCUCUUGCCGUAUGACUCUGGAGGGGUGGAAUUACUGUUUCUCCCACUGGGACCCACCCUCAGCAAGACUUGUCUGUCGAGAAUUUAUCAGUUGAAGGAGGAUAUGACACAGAACUUGAUUCUCACUUGAACUCAUUGAGAGAGAAGCUCGUUGCAGUUGGGAAGGAAUCUUCACAGCUUUAUAGAGUGAUCCAAGCUCUGGAAAAGCAGGCUUUCCCUUAGCAACAGUUUUGAUGCAUCCAUUGCCGAAGCACUAUUGUUGUAUGAGCAGAGCUCAACGCAUGAGAAUUUUCAAGGUAUAAUUGCACUUCUAAACACCUAGUAUAUCAUGUUGUGAUGCUGCUUUACUUGCACCUUAGUUGGGAGUUUAUGUUUAGAAGUUUUCACCAAAGCAUGUCAAUGUUUCUCAAGAUAAUUGUGAAACCAUUCUUUCAGUUUCCAAGAGAUCUUCCACUAAAGCAUUUCAGCAGUGGUAGAUUAGUGUAUGUACUUCUGCUGAGGAUGGAAUUCUUUCUUUCCUACUCUAGUCUUUGAUGAUCUUGGGGACCUUGAUUAUUUCUUCUUUCAUUUAGUUCAUGUUUGAUAAAGAGAAAUCCCAUGGUUGGGCAGGUAAAAAAAUCACAAAGAAAUUUUGGUUAGUUAUAUACAAACUAGUCAUACUUCAUUUGCAUGCGCAUCGGUUACUGACAAAACUAGUGGAGUCACUUAAGCUGCCAAAAUAACAGUUUUCUGUUUUCCUUUCUUGAUCAUGCUUGUUUCUUAGACUGGAUAGCCAUCCAUGGUUCCCUCUCUUGUAUGAUAUUGCAUACUUUCAUCAAAGAUUUGGAGCUUUAAAAAAAAAACCCUUAAGUGGUUUUGCUUAAAAUCUACUGUAUUAUUACCACGCCGCCAUACGUAGAUCCUUUU